rnacentral:rRNA from 1 species
CGGAAGUAGCUUGCUACUAGACGACGACCGGCGCACGGGUGAGUAACGCGUAUGUAAUCUGCCUUGUACAGAGGGAUAGCCCAGAGAAAUUUGGAUUAAUACCUCAUAGUAUUACCGAAUCGCAUGAUUUGGUAAUUAAAGCUCCGGCGGUACAAGAUGAACAUGCGUGACAUUAGCUAGUUGGUAAGGUAACGGCUUACCAAGGCUACGAUGUCUAGGGGUUCUGAGAGGAUGAUCCCCCACACUGGUACUGAGACACGGACCAGACUCCUACGGGAGGCAGCAGUGAGGAAUAUUGGUCAAUGGACGCAAGUCUGAACCAGCCCAUCCCGCGUGAAGGAUGACUGCCCUAUGGGUUGUAAACUUCUUUUAUAUGCAAAUAAACCUACUUUCGUGAAAGUAGCUGAAGGUAGCAUAUGAAUAAACACCGGCUAACUCCGUGCCAGCAGCCGCGGUAAUACGGAGGGUGUGAGCGUUAUCCGGAUUUAUUGGGUUUAAAGGGUACGUAGGCGGUAAUAUAAGUCAGUGGUGAAAUCCUGCAGCUCAACUGUAGAACUGCCAUUGAAACUGU